rfam:Epulopiscium sp. AS2M-Bin002 AS2M_MBin02_43, whole genome shotgun sequence.
UAGAACUAAUGAUUUGACAAGUCAAAUGAUAGAGUAACGUCUUGAAGGGCUUGCCCUAAUAUUCCGAAUAGCGUUUAUAGAUUAAGAUAUAAAUGUUAUAAGCUCGGUGAAGGCGGCUGAGAGUACAUCCUAAAUUUAUGUAUAUAAAUAGGAAAAGUGAACCAGAGGUGGUCAAGUGUAUGAUAGGUCGGGGGUCUAUAAA